UUAGAUUUUAUUUAUUAAUUUUGUUUAUUUAUGUUUAAAUUAUUAAAAAUAAUUAUAUAAUAAAAAGUUUUAGUAUUGUUUAAAGAAAAAAUAAAUUUAAUAAUAGUUUAAUAGUAUUGUAAAAGAAAAUUGAAAUAAUAUGAAAAAUUUUUAAUUUAAAAGAAAAUUUAAUUUAUUGUACCUU
rnacentral:rRNA from 1 species